GAUGAACGCUGGCGGCGUGCCUAAUACAUGCAAGUCGAGCGAACAGACGAGGAGCUUGCUCCUCUGACGUUAGCGGCGGACGGGUGAGUAACACGUGGAUACCUACCUAUAAGACUGGGAUAACUUCGGGAAACCGGAGCUAAUACCGGAUAAUAUAUUGCACCGCAUGGUUCAAUAGUGAAAGACGGUUUUGCUGUCACUUAUAGCUGGAUCCGCGCCGCAUUAGCUAGUUGGUAAGGUAACGGCUUACCAAGGCAACGAUGCGUAGCCGACCUGAGAGGGUGAUCGGCCACACUGGAACUGAGACACGGUCCAGACUCCUACGGGAGGCAGCAGUAGGGAAUCUUCCGCAAUGGGCGAAAGCUUGACGGAGCAACGCCGCGUGAGUGAUGAAGGUCUUCGGAUCGUAAAGCUCUGUUAUUAGGGAAGAACAAAUGUGUAAGUAACUAUGCACGUCUUGACGGUACCUAAUCAGAAAGCCACGGCUAACUACGUG
rnacentral:rRNA from 1 species